ACUUGGACCAGACUCAGUGAUUCAAAACAGUUUCUUGGCCACAUCCUUUCCAAUUGAAGCUGAAAAUGGGCAGAUGUGUAAACAACCCUGGACAAAGAGGAAAGCACCAACCUCCAUGUACUUAUUCAAACCAGAAGCCAAGGAUAAUCCUUUAGCAGUGUUGAUCAUAAUCCUGAAAAUGGGGAGAAGUAAAAGACAUAGAGCUCAUUUGGGGAACAUUUCAAGUCAAGUGAGAGAGAAUUAUGACCAAGGGACAGUUGAAAUGAAGGUUGAGAAGAAAAACCUGGCCCUUGUUCUUAGCCACUUUAAUGAAGCAUCACUUGCCACAGAGAGGGGAAAAUAGCAAUUUGCAUUCUGAGAUAAUUUAAGACUAACCUUUAACUAUAUGUGCAUUAAUGUAUGGCUAAAAAUAUGUAUCAAGAUUUUAAAAUUAUUAAAGGAAGCUUACAGAUGAUAAAGAAGAUAAAUAUUUGAAAGAAAAAUUAAUCUUUGAAUAUAUAGUCUGCUCUUAACAAGAAGCACUAUGUGAUUUUAUUCUUUGAUAGCAAAGAUUGUUAUAAUUAUUAAAACACUCUCACUC
ensembl:lncRNA LINC02066 long intergenic non-protein coding RNA 2066